UACGUAGGGUGCGAGCGUUAAUCGGAAUUACUGGGCGUAAAGCGUGCGCAGGCGGUUCGUUAUGUCCGAUGUGAAAGCCCCGAGCUCAACUUGGGAAUGGCAUUGGAAACUGGCGGGCUGGAGUGUGGCAGAGGGGGGUGGAAUUCCACGUGUAGCAGUGAAAUGCGUAGAGAUGCGGAGGAACACCGAUGGCGAAGGCAGCCCCCUGGGCUAGCACUGACGCUCAGGCACGAAAGCGUGGGGAGCAAACAGG
rnacentral:rRNA from 1 species